CUCCGUAGCAAGCCCCUGGCAAGCUCCACGUCGACCGCGCAGGCGCCCGGGGCGCGUUCACCUGCUGCCGUUGUCGCCGCCGCCGCCGCCGCUGACGGGGCUGGAUGGGGGGCCGAGGCCAGCCAGGGGCACCCAGAAAGAAGAGACGCGGCGGCGGCGACGCCGACACCCGCACGACGAGCGCCCCGAGGUGCCCGCCAGCUCCACAGGAAGGCGGCGAGGCCCGGGCCCGGCCGCCCCGCGGGUAGAGACGCUGCCGGCCCCUCGCCGCGCCAUGUUCAAGAAGCUGAAGCAGAAGAUCAGCGAGGAGCAGCAGCAGCUGCAGCAGGCGUUAGCCCCUGCUCAGGCUUCCUCCAGCUCUUCAACACCAACAAGGACAAGAAGCAGGACAUCUUCAUUUACAGACCAGCUUGAUGACGUGACACCCAACAGAGAGCUACUAGCCGGGAUGGUAGCAGAGCCUGCCUUUCUCUCUGAAUACACUAUCUUUGCUUUGGAUUCCUCCAAACAGCCCAAAACACAGACUGGCAGUGUGAAUGCAUCAACUCAAGCAACAAAAUCUCCAGAUGGUGUCAGUAAAGAUGAGUCGUCCCCCUCUCAGUCGGGUGACACACAGACUUUUGCGCAGAAGCUCCAGCUCCGAGUACCUUCCAUGGAGUCUCUGUUUCGAAGUCCCAUAAAGGAAUCCCUGUUUCGGUCUUCUAAAGAGCCUUUGGUCCGGACGUCCUCCAGAGAGUCCUUGAACCAGCUUGACCUGGACUGUUCUGCUGCGGCCUUUGACCCCCCUUCUGAUAUGGAGAGCGAGGCUGAAGACGCACCAUGGAACUCAGACGGUCUCAGCAGAGAGCAGCUGCUUCAGCGGCUGCGCAGAAUGGAGCGAAGCCUAAGUAGCUACAGAGGGAAGUACUCCGAGCUCGUCACAGCGUUUCAGACUCUUCAGAGAGAGAAGAAAAAGCUUCAAGGUAUAUUGAGUCAGAGUCAAGAUAAAUCACUUCGGAGAAUUUCAGAAUUAAGAGAGGAGCUGCAAAUGGACCAGCAAGCAAAGAAACAUCUUCAGGACGAGUUUGAUGCAUGUUUGGAGGAGAAAGAUCAGUAUAUCAGUGUUCUCCAGACUCAGGUUUCUCUUCUAAAGCAGCGAUUACAGAAUGGCCCAAUGAAUGUUGAUGCUCCCAAACCCCUCCCUCCCGGGGAGCUCCAGGCAGAAGUGCACGGUGACACGGAGAAGAUGGAGGGCGUCGGGGAACCAGUGGGAGGUGGGACUUCCGCUAAAACCCUGGAAAUGCUCCAGCAAAGAGUGAAACGUCAGGAGAAUCUGCUUCAGCGCUGUAAGGAGACAAUUGGGUCCCACAAGGAGCAGUGCGCACUGCUGCUGAGUGAGAAGGAGGCACUGCAGGAGCAGUUGGAUGAAAGGCUGCAGGAGCUGGAAAAGAUGAAGGAGCUUCAUAUGGCUGAGAAGACUAAACUUAUCACUCAGUUGCGUGAUGCAAAGAACUUAAUUGAACAGCUUGAACAAGAUAAGGGGAUGGUAAUAACCGAGACGAAGCGGCAAAUGCUUGAGACCCUGGAACUGAAAGAAGAUGAAAUUGCUCAGCUUCGUAGUCAUAUCAAACAGAUGACUACCCAGGGAGAGGAACUGCGGGAACAGAAAGAAAAGUCUGAAAGAGCUGCCUUGUAUGAACAGGACUGGGCUUUUGAGGAACUUGAAAAAGCCUUGAGUACAGCCCAAAAAACUGAAGAUGCACAGAGAAGAAUGAAGAUGGAGAUGGAUGAACAGAUGAAGGCUGUUGAGAGAGCGAGCGAGGAGGAGCGCCUCCGCCUUCAGCAUGAGCUGAGUCGGGUGAGGCAGGAGGCUGCCAGCAUGGCAAAGAAGAACUCAGAAGAACAAGUUGCUGCACUCCAGAAGCUGCAUGCAGAGGAGCUCGCCAGCAAAGAGCAGGAGCUGAGCAGGAGGCUUGAGGCCCGGGAAAGGGAGCUGCAGGAGCAGAUGAGAAUAGCUCUCGAAAAGAGUCGAUCAGAAUAUUUGAAGCUCACCCAAGAAAAAGAGCAGCAAGAAUCCUUGGCUUUAGAAGAGUUAGAGCUGCAGAAAAAAGCCAUCCUUACAGAGAGUGAAAAUAAACUCCAGGAACUUGGGCAAGAAGCAGAGGCUUACCGAACCAGAAUUCUUGAAUUGGAAACCUCUUUGGAAAAAAGUUUACAAGAAAGCAAAACACAGUCAGAGCAUCUGGCUGUUCAUCUGGAAGCUGAGAAGAAUAAGCACAAUAAAGAACUCACAGCCCUGGCUGAGCAGCAUAGGACAGAAGUGGAGGGCCUCCAGCAGCAGCAGGACAGCCUGUGGACUGAGAGACUCCAAAGCCUCUCUCAGCAGCAUCAGGCUGCUGUGGAGGAGCUCAGAGAGAAGUAUCAGCAAGAGAAAGAUGCACUACUGAAGGAGAAGGAGAGUCUCUUCCAGGCCCACAUACAAGACAUGAAUGAAAAGACCUUGGAGAAGCUUGACAAGAAGCAAAUGGAACUGGAAUCUGUCUCUUCUGAGCUGUCAGAAGCACUGAGAGCUCGGGACCAGCUUGCAGAGGAGCUUUCUGUCCUAAGAGGUGAUGCAGAUAAAAUGAAACAGGCUUUAGAGGCCGAGCUGGAGGAGCAGCGGCGUCACCACCAGCGUGAGGUUGGCAGCAUCAGUGAGCAACAAGAACUAACCGUCCGCAGAGCUGAGAAGGCACUGAAAGAUGAGCUCAGUCGGCUGGGGGCUCUGCUGGACGAGAGGGACGAGCACCUGAGAGAGCGGCAGGCCCGGGUGCAGGACCUGGAAGCUCAUCUUCAGAAGUCUGCCGGGGAGCUCCAGCAGGCCUUGGCCAAACUAGAUCUCUUGCACUCUGAGCAGAGCGCCGCACGCGAGCAGGCAGGUGCGUAUGAGGAGCAGCUGGCCCAAAUGCAGCAAAAGGUGUUAGACCUGGAAACAGAGAAGAGCCUUCUUACCAAGCAGGUAGUGGAGAUGGAAACACACAAAAAGCAUGUGUGUGAGGAAUUAGAUGCUCAGAGAGCUCAAGUGCAGCAGCUGGAGAGACAGAGGAGUGAGCUGGAGGAGAAGGUCAGGUCGCUAGCCCAGCUCCAGGACUCACAGCUCAAGAACAGUACUGUGGAGAAGGAGCAGGCUCGGCAAAGCCUGAUGGAAAAGGAAAACAUCAUCUUACAGAUGCGAGAGGAGCAGGCCAAGGAAAUCGAGAUCCUCAAACAGACAUUGUCUUCUAAAGAAGAGAGCAUUAGUAUUUUGCAUGAAGAAUAUGAAACCAAAUUUAAAAAUCAGGAAAAAAGAAUGGAAAAAAUUAAGCAGAAAGCAAAAGAAAUGCAAGAAACAAAGAAAAAGUUGUUGGAUCAGGAAGCCAAACUUAAAAAAGAGCUUGAAAAUACUGUCCUAGAGCUUAGUCAGAAAGAGAAGCAGUUCAAUGCGCAGAUCCUGGAAAUGGCACAGGCUAACUCAGCUGGAAUCAGCGACACGGUGUCGAGACUGGAGGAGAACCAGAGGCAGCAGAUAGAAAGCCUGACCGGGGCUCAUCAGCGAAAACUUGAUGAUGUCAUAGAGGCCUGGGAAAAGAAGCUGAGUCAGCAAGCUGCAGAGCUCCGGGACAAGCAUGCAGAGCAGAUGGAGGAGAAGGAGCAGGGGCUGGGAGAGCUGAGGCAGAAGGUCCGCAUAGUCCAGUCUGAAAAAGAGGAGCUGACUAAGGAGGUGGCGCGAUUGAAAGAGGCGGUCAGUGGGCAGGACGUGGCACUAGCUGGCCUGCAGGGACAGCUGGAGCAGAAGUCUGCUGUCAUCGUUUCCCUUUCGGAGCGUGAAUCUCAGCUGCAGUCACAAGUGGAAAAGCUGGAAGCUGAUUUGGGUUGUUCUCUGAGUGAAAAGCUUUCCCUUCAAGAAGAGCUGGCUGAGCUGAAACUGCUGGCAGACAAGAGUCAGCUGAGGGUCUCCGAGCUGACGGGCCAGGUGCAGGCUGCGGAGAAGGAGCUCCAGAGCUGUAAGUCUCUGCAUGAGCUCAGCAAGAAGAGCCUGGAGGACAAGAGCUUGAACCUCAAAAGCUUGCUUGAGGAGCUAGCAUCUCAGCUAGACAGUCGCUGUGAGAGAACCAAAGCUCUGUUAGAAGCCAAGACGAACGAACUAGUGUGCACCAGCCGUGACAAAGCCGACGCUAUUCUCGCUAGGCUGUCCCAAUGCCAGCGCCACACAGCCACAGUUGGGGAGGCGCUGCUCAGGAGAAUGGGCCAGGUUUCUGAGUUAGAAGCACAACUUACACAGCUGACAGAGGAGCAGCGCACACUAAAGAGCUCUUUUCAGCAGGUUACCAAUCAGCUGGAAGAGAAAGAGAAGCAGAUUAAGACCAUGAAGGCUGACAUUGAAGGUCUUCUCACAGAAAAAGAAGCCUUACAGCAAGAAGGAGGCCAGCAGCGGCAGGCGGCCUCUGAGAAGGAGUCCUGCAUCACACAGCUGAAGAAGGAGUUAGCGGAGAACAUCAAUGCCGUCACACUACUGAGAGAAGAGCUGUCGGAGAAGAAGUCUGAGAUUGCCAGUCUUAGCAAGCAGUUAAGUGAUCUCGGUGCUCAGCUGGAGAGCAGCAUCAGCCCGAGUGACAAGGCCGAAGCCAUCUCUGCCCUGAGCAAGCAGCACGAGGAACAAGAGCUGCAGCUGCAAGCUCAGCUUCAGGAGCUGUCUCUGAAAGUCGAUGCUCUGAGUAAAGAGAAAAUGUCUGCCCUUGAGCAGGUGGAUCAUUGGUCCAACAAGUUCUCAGAGUGGAAGAAAAAAGCACAGUCCAGACUUGCCCAGCACCAAAGCACUAUUAAAGACUUGCAGGCACAGCUAGACGUAAAAGCCACGGACGCUCGUGAGAAGGAGGAGCAGAUAUGUUUACUGAAGGAAGACCUUGAUCGGCAGAAUAAAAAGUUUGAAUGUUUAAAAGGCGAGAUGGAAGUCAGGAAGAGCAAGAUGGAGAAAAAGGAGUGUGACUUAGAGACUGCGUUAAAGACUCAGACAGCAAGGGUCGUUGAAUUAGAAGACUGCGUUACUCAGAGGAAAAAAGAAGUUGAGUCCCUAAAUGAAACACUUAAGAAUUACAACCAGCAGAGGGACACUGAGCACAGUGGGCUGGUUCAGAGACUUCAGCACUUGGAAGAGUUGGGAGAAGAGAAAGACAACAAGGUUAGGGAGGCUGAAGAGACCGUCCUGAGACUACGAGAGCACGUGUCCUCGCUGGAAGCUGAACUUGGAACUGUGAAGAAGGAACUAGAACAUGUAAAUUCAAGUGUGAAAAGCAGAGAUGGGGAGCUGAAAGCUUUAGAAGACAAACUUGAGUUAGAAAGUGCUGCAAAAGUGGAGCUGAAGAGGAAGGCCGAGCAGAAGAUCGCUGCCAUCAGGAAGCAGCUCUUGUCUCAGAUGGAAGAGAAAACCCAGCGGUAUGCGAAGGACACAGAGAACCGACUGAGUGAGCUGAGUGCACAAUUAAAAGAAAGAGAAAAGCAAGUUCACAGCCUAGAAGACAAACUUAAAAACCUGGAGAGUUCUCCACACCCAGAAGUGCCAGCGGUGUCCAGAUCUAUGCAAAGUGUGGCAGCGUCUCCCGAGCAAGAGGCUCCAGAUUCCCAGGACUGCACACACAAGGCCUGUAAAGAAAGACUCUGCAUGCUGCAAAGACGUUUAAGUGAAAAAGAGAAGCUGCUGCGCAGGCUGGAGCAGGGCGAAGGCGAGGCGAGGCCAUCGCAGCCUGAGGCUCAGCACAGGGCGCUCUCUGGAAAGUUAGACUGCACUAGAGCCAGGCAGCUUGAAGAUCACGUUUUGAUAGGAUGUCUUCCAGAAGAACUCGAAGAAAAGAUGAAAUGUUCCUUAAUUGUGUCUCAGCCCAUGGGAGAAGAAACUGGUAACAACACAGGGGUGAAGCAGAAUUGGGCAAGUGUGGUUGACAGUGUUCAGAAAACCCUCCAGGAAAAGGAGCUCACUUGCCAGGCCCUAGAGCAAAGGGUGAAAGAACUGGAGUCGGACUUAGUAAGAGAGAGGGGCGCCCAUAGACUUGAAGUGGAAAAGUUGACCUUAAAAUAUGAAAAAUCGCAAUCUUCCCAGCAAGAAAUGGAUGGGGAAAAUAAAUGUGUAGAAGUGUUGGAAGACAGGCCUGAGGAAAACUCCCAAUCCCAUGAGAUCCAGUCAAACGUGGGGACCGUGGACGGCCUGCGCAGCGACCUGGAGUCCAAGUUGACAGGAGCGGAGCGGGACAAGCAGAAGCUGAGCAAGGAGGUGGCGAGGCUGCAGAAGGAGCUGCGAGCUCUGCGGAGGGAGCACCAGCAGGAGCUGGACAUCCUGAAGAGGGAGUGCGAGCAGGAGGCCGAGGAAAAGCUCAAACAGGAGCAAGAGGAUCUUGAGUUGAAGCACACGUCCACACUGAAGCAGCUGAUGCGGGAGUUUAACACACAACUGGCACAGAAGGAGCAGGAGCUGGAAAGAACUGUCCAGGAGACCAUUGAUAAGGCCCAAGAGGUGGAAGCCGAACUUCUGGAAAGCCACCAAGAAGAGACACAGCAGUUGCAUAGAAAGAUCGCGGAGAAAGAGGAUGAUCUGAGAAGGACAGCCAGGAGAUACGAGGAGAUACUCGAUGCCCGUGAAGAAGAAAUGACUGGCAAAGUGACGGACCUGCAGACCCAGCUCGAGGAGCUCCAGAAGAAAUACCAGCAGAGGCUGGAGCAGGAGGAGAGCACCAAGGACAGUGUAACAAUUUUGGAGCUACAGACACAACUAGCGCAGAAGACCACUCUGAUCAGCGACUCCAAGCUGAAGGAGCAGGAGUUGAGAGAACAGGUCCAUAAUUUAGAAGACCGUUUGAAAAGAUAUGAAAAGAAUGCAUGUGCAGCAACUGUGGGGACACCUUACAAAGGUGGCAAUUUGUACCACACUGAGGUCUCACUCUUCGGAGAACCUACCGAGUUUGAGUAUUUGCGAAAAGUGAUGUUUGAAUAUAUGAUGGGUCGCGAGACUAAGAGCCCCACUGCUGCCACCAAACACACAGGCCUACACACAGAGUUCAUGUAGCCAUGGGCACUGGUUCCCUCUUCUGGGAUGCUCUACCAUGUUCUCUAGGAGUCCCCAGGAGAGAGCACCACCUGACCUGAGAUGUAAGCACUGAGCUCAUUACCAUUCUCACCUCAUGUUGACAUCUUCUCUCCUCUCUGUCUGCCUAACCACAUCUCAUCUUGAUACACAAUAGGGAGUUUUCAACCUUUGAGGAGAAUUUUCCAGGAGCUUUUGGGGUGACAGUCUGACUUACGGUAUAUUUAUUCUGAUCUGCACAGUUUAUGAUCUUGUUUUGCAAACUCCCAUGUGUAAUGUUUUGAUUCAUCAUGUGUUCUACCAAACACAACAUCUGUGUUCCUUUAAUAUGUGAUUUCUAUUAGGCUGACAUGCUGCAUGUCUUGAAAAGUAACUUCUGAGCAUGUUCAUGUCCAUGCAGUAGCCCAUGUCUACGAGACAUAUGAUGUGACUUAGUUAGAGCCUCUAAUCCCAGUUACCUAGAGCAUCUGUUUUGGCAAUGUAUCUAAUUACCUAGAGCAUCUGUUUUGGCAAUGUAUCCUGUAGGUUACUGCAAAUAUAAGGCUGUUCAGAUGAAUUCGUGAUGAAGUUUCAUCUUAAUGAGAUAAAAAAUUAACAGUUAGAUCUUUAUUCAGCUUCAUGCUAUUGGAGAUACGUUAUCUGAAGUAAUUCAAAGGUAGAGCUUGUAAGAAGCCCUCUUAAAUUGAGACGCUAGUGCUGGUCUUUACUUCCUUGACUGACACCUUCACAUCAUACUUCUUUGUCCGUGACUUCCAUUGAGAGCACUAAGGAAUCCUGCAGAACAUGUCCGAAUGCUGUGAGACUUGUUUGCCUCGUCCUCUGCCAAUGAUCCCUUUCCUGUUGCUUCUAGACCAUGGCCAAAGUUAUAACCACUGUCCUGAAAUUCCCUGAUGAUCAGGCUCAGAAAAUUUUGGAAAGAGAAGAUGCUCGUCUGAUGUUCACCUCACCUCGCAGUGGCAUCUUCUGAUACCCGUCAGUCAGGCUGUGCUUAGUAAGCAUGUGUCAUGGCUCCGAACCUCAUCUUGAAGAAAUGGAGAGAGUGAGGCUGGGCAGCCGCUGCCUGGGAAGCUGUCCACCUGUGGGGCUUUUAGAGAAUGGCGCUGUCAUUACAGGCCAUUGGUGUAGCUUGAAGGCAGAUGCUACUCUGGCCUCAGAUACAUUGCUGUGGAAGCAGGCGCUUUUGGUGGGGAGAUGGUGGUGGGUUUGUCCUUUUUUAUUCAGUUUUUUCUUGGGAAGUUUUCUGUGGUUUAAAGGCUGUUCUGACUGGCCCCACCUGGCUUGGCUCUUCAGUGUCUUUUUCUUGUGUUCUCCCUCUCUUUAAAGAACUGUCCAUCUUCCUUAUUUAUUUUAGGGUGGUUUCUUUUUCUUCCUAAAGACUUGUGCAAUAUAUUUUGAGGUGAAACUUAGUGAAUUUUUUUCUGAUAAAUUAGAGAUUUUAAUUGACUGUUUCACAGAUUGAUUUUUUGAAUAUUUGCUAAAGCCUAGUUCUUUAUGCUAUGAUAAGUCCCAAAUGGCAGUACCUCAUGUUUACCUAGCUUUUGGACUUAUAUUAUUUUUCAGAGGAAAAAAUACUACUGUAAAUUGUAAAUAGUACAUAAUCCUAUUGUCUGCAGCUCUGUGACUGUUGGCCAUGUCAUCUCAGAGGAUCAGAUAAAUAAAGUUUAUUUCCUAUA